rnacentral:tRNA from 1 species
GCCUCGUGAUGCGACUGGCGUCGCAGCUCCACUGUCUAUGGAGUGAGACGGGUUCGAUUCCCGUACGAGGCG